rnacentral:rRNA from 1 species
GAUGAACGCUAGCGGCAGGCUUAAUACAUGCAAGUCGAGGGGCAUCAAGGUACACGAAAGUGUAUUGUUGGCGACCGGCGGACGGGUGAGUAAUAGGUAGGUAACCUACCUCAUACUGAGGCAUAGCUGGGAGAAAUUCCAGGUAAUUCCUCAUGAGGUUAUAUGACACAUGUGAUAUAAUCAAAGGUAUCGCAAGGUACUGGUAUGAGAUGGGCUUACUGACCAUUAGCUAGUUGGUGAGAUAAGAGCUCACCAAGGCGAAGAUGGUUAGGGGUUUGAGAGAGAGAUCCCCCCACAUUGGAACUGAGAUACGGCCCAGACUCCUACGGGAGGCAGCAGUGGGGAAUCUUGCGCAAUGGGGGCAACCCUGACGCAGCCAUGCCGCGUGAAUGAUGAAGGCCUUAGGGUUGUAAAGUUCUUUUGCCCGUGACGAUGAUGACGGUAACGGGAGAAUAAGCUCCGGCUAACUUCGUG